rnacentral:rRNA from 1 species
CUACUGAUUGAGAUUUUAACACGAAGUGAGUGGCGAACGGGUGAGUAACACGUGGGUAACCUGCCCAGAAGUAGGGGAUAACACCUGGAAACAGAUGCUAAUACCGUAUAACAGAGAAAACCGCAUGGUUUUCUUUUAAAAGAUGGCUCUGCUAUCACUUCUGGAUGGACCCGCGGCGUAUUAGCUAGUUGGUGAGGUAAAGGCUCACCAAGGCAGUGAUACGUAGCCGACCUGAGAGGGUAAUCGGCCACAUUGGGACUGAGACACGGCCCAGACUCCUACGGGAGGCAGCAGUAGGGAAUCUUCCACAAUGGACGCAAGUCUGAUGGAGCAACGCCGCGUGAGUGAAGUCUGCAACU